GUUGUAUAGUUAAGUGACUAAGCGUACAAGGUGGAUGCCUUGGCAAUCAGAGGCGAAGAAGGACGUGCUAAUCUGCGAAAAGCUUGGAUGAGUCGAUAAGAGGCGUUUAAUCCAAGAUGUCCGAAUGGGGAAACCCAGUAGAUGAAGAAUCUACUAUUACUUACUGAAUCCAUAGGUAAGUGAGGCAAACCGGGAGAACUGAAACAUCUAAGUACCCCGAGGAAAAGAAAUCAACCGAGAUUUCGUUAGUAGCGGCGAGCGAACGCGAAGGAGCCUGUUAGUGAU
rnacentral:rRNA from 1 species